rnacentral:rRNA from 1 species
GACGAACGCUGGCGGCGUGCUUAACACAUGCAAGUCGAGCGGUAAGGCCCUUUCGGGGGUACACGAGCGGCGAACGGGUGAGUAACACGUGGGUGACCUGCCCUCAGCUCUGGGAUAAGCCUGGGAAACCGGGUCUAAUACCGGAUAUGACUCCAUGACGCAUGUUGUGGGGUGGAAAGCCUUGUGCGGCUGAGGAUGGGCCCGCGGCCUAUCAGCUUGUUGGUGGGGUGAUGGCCACCAAGGCGACGACGGGUAGCCGGCCUGAGAGGGCGACCGGCCACACUGGGACUGAGACACGGCCCAGACUCCUACGGGAGGCAGCAGUGGGGAAUCUUGCGCAAUGGGCGAAAGCCUGACGCAGCGACGCCGCGUGAGGGAU